AGAGCCUAUCUACUUCAUGCCUUUCCCUUUGGUCUCUGCAAGACAGGCAUCUGAGCAUACGCUGUAGAAUACACAAUGUUAACUAGGGUUGUUUUGAACCCAAUUCCACUAGAAGCAUCAUAACUUGUUAAAUGCAGAUGAGGUCUAUCACGGAUAGGAGUGAAUGAAUGCAGCAGCACUUGCAGUGACUUCAAGAGGAGGGCAAGAUGCCCACGGAUGCAGAUUCAGUCCCCCUUCUCUGCUCUGCCUUACCUCUGUAGAGCAGCCACAACUAGUCACCGCACCACCAAGAGGUGUGACCUUCUACGCUGGUUCCCUUGGACAGCCACGCUACGAACUCCAACAUCAAAAUCAGAACAUACGGGCAGAACUGAAAUUCUAAGGGGGAGAGCUAACUGCUGCCUAAUGACCCCCAGGGGUCCCUGGAGAAUGCGUAUCAAAGACAGUCCAGGACUGUGCUCAAGGAGCGAGUCUGGGGAUGCCAAGUCUAGGUCAGCAUUGUCCAACAGAAAUACAAGGUCAGCCUCACACAGAAUUUUACAUUUGCCAGUAGCCACAUUACAGCAUUAAAACGAGUGAAAUUAAUUUUGACAGUAUAUUUAACCCAGUCCUCUGCUAUCCAAAUUAUCAUUUCAAGGUUAUCAAUAUAAAAAAAGCUAUUGAUCAUUCACAUUCUUUUUUUGGGUACCAGGUUUUCAAAACCCACUGUAUUUUAUACUCAGGGCACAACUCCAUUUGGACUAGCCACAUUUUAAGAGCUCAACAGUCAAUAUAUUGGACAACCCAUCUGUAGAUCUUUCCCCUUAUUGAGGUUAUAGACGGACUCUGAGAUGAAUAAGCCCCCUCCCCCCAAAUCUUUAUUCAUUUGGCAAAGAAAGGAUUGUCAGGCCCCUU